UAGUCCAUGCCCUAAACGAUGUGUACUAGAUCGCGGGGGUUUUGACGCCAUCGCGGUCGAAGCAAAAGUGUUAAGUACACCGCCUGGGGAGUACGGUCGCAAGGCUAAAACUCAAAGGAAUUGACGGGGGCUCACACAAGCGGUGGAGCAUGUGGCUUAAUUCGAAGCAACGCGAAGAACCUUAUCCAGGGCUUGACAUUCACGGAUUAGCUUCCCGAAAAGGAAGUGACGAGUUUACUUGGAACGUGGACAGGUGCUGCAUGGCUGUCGUCAGCUCGUGCUGUGAAGUGUCGGGUUAAGUCCCUUAACGAGCGAAACCCCUGUCGUUAGUUGCCAGCGAGUCAUGUCGGGGACUCUAACGAGACUGCCGGUGUCAAACCGGAGGAAGGUGGGGAUGACGUCAAGUCCUCAUGGCCUUUAUGCCCUGGGCUGCACACGUGCUACAAUGCCAUCGACAGAGCGAAGCGAUAUCGCAAGGUGGAGCAAACCCGCGAGGGGGAGCGAAUCCCACAAACGUUUCG
rnacentral:rRNA from 1 species